AUGCAAAAAAAUAAAAUAAAUACCAUUUUGACAGCACACUCGCUUAACUUUUUCACCCUGUCUUCGAAUGUUCGUCUCUUACACUCUCAGUCAGCCUGCCUCGCUCUAGUCGCCCUUCACACGGAAUCGCCUCCGGUGCCGCCGAUCGUUGCUUCGCCACCUCCGCCGCCUAUUACCUCCUCGUCGCAGGGACUUCAUGAUUAG